GGAAGGCAUGUUUAAAAAGAAUGAAAGAAAAUAAUGAAGGUGGUGCCAUUUUUUAUUUUCUUAUUAUAAAGUGAUCUCACUGUAAUAAUAUUUGCAUCCAAAAAGCAGGCAGGCACUAAAGUUUUUAGUAAACAUGUGAAUAUCAUGUAGUUAUACAUUAAGCUAAUAUAUCACAAGGCUGAAUUUUCAGUUGUACUUGAGAUACUUGAGACUUAACUUAACAAUUGUUGAUUAGGUUCUCCAUUAACCAGCUGAUAAUGUCUCUUAUUUGGUCUAAACAGUAAUCCGUAUAUCAAAAUUAUUGCAAGUAUGUGCACUGUAUGGACAACAGGUUGCAUUGCUUGAUCUUUGAGCUCAGGUGUUUUCAGUCCUGUGACCACAGGUGUGGCCCUGCACUCUGAGUUGUGAAAAAAAGGGUCUUUCUAAAGAGUUAACUGAAAUCAAGUGUUGGACUGUAAUAGGAUGUUUUCAUUGCAAUAACUCAAUUUGUCAAAUCUCUUCCCUCCAAGAUUUCCACCAUUUAAAAGGGAUCACCACAGCAGGUAGUUGUAACUCAGUCACCAAAGUAACAGAUCACACAAAGUCACAAAGUGGUGAGGUACACAGUGCGUAAAAGUCACCAACACUCUGACUCCAAACCUCCUCUGGCAUUACAGUUUUUCUCAGUUGCUUUGGUGCAUUUCUCACAACAGAAUUAAACUUUGCACAAUAGUUAGUUCAACCUCCACAACAUGUAGUCGUUUUGGCACAACCUUGUGGCGGUUUCAUGUUCAUUUCGUCCAAAGGCAAAUGCCUUUGGACAUGAAGCAGUUGAGAAAGUACAAAUAUCUAAAGAAUGGUCACUUUUGACUUGCUAUUCAUCACUAUCUCCUUGCUUUUAUCAUGAAUGUCACAAUUAUUUAUACUUGUACCGGCUGAAUAGUCAUUGUCCAUACAACUAAUAGUCUUCAUUUCAUUGCUUGUGUCAGUGCACUCAAAAUUGUUGAACAUCUUGUCAAACAAUUUGUACACCCAUUUUGAAAACCCUAUUUUUAAGGAGUUUCCAUGAAAAUCUCCAUAAAUUACUUUUCUCAGGUGAACCUUAUCUCACACUAAUGAAAAUUGGUGUGUGUUACUCUUACUUGCAACCAAUGAAAAGCCUCUUCUACCCAGUCACAGGUGAAUCGCGUUACAGUAUCCCCUACUCUACAAGUAUAUAUAUAUAAUGUAAACCAACAGACAGGAUUGGCAUGAGAUGCAUACUGAAUCUACAAAACUGCAGAACAUGGAACGUCAGCCUUGUGGAAGAGGGUGAGGAUUGGUGGAGGACGUGGACAAAACCGGGUAAGAAGAGGCCAACCACAUAGACACGUUCCUGACGAAAUCAGGGCAACACUUGUGGAUCAUGUGAUAAACCAUGGCCUCACAAUGGCCGAGGCUGGUCGAAGGGUGCAGCCAAAUGUUGGGAGAACUACUGUAAGUUCUAUUAUUCAGACAUUUCGUUGGGAAAACAGGACUGCCAGACAACCUAGAAGAGGUGGAAGAGGUCCACUUUUGACUCCGCAGCAAGAGGAAAGAAUUUGUGCAAUGGUGGCUGCAAACAACGCUUUGAGACUGAGAGAAAUACAAAGAACUGUCGUAGAAGAUGACACCAUCUUCGGAAAUAUUCAGUCAAUAUCAAUUUCCACCAUAGACAGAGUCCUCAGACGGAAUGAAAUGUCCAUGAAGCAAUUGUACAAAGUACCAUUUGAACGGAACAGUGAUCGAGUGAAGGAGCUCCGUCACCAGUAUGUACAGGUAAAACAUGUUUGCAUAUGUACCUCUGUUUACUGUAAAAGUUUCAGGCCAUGUACUGCACUUACAUUUAUGCAUGUUACUGUAAUCCUAUUUACAUCCACAUACCCAAAUGACCCUGCUAGCAGCUAUGGAUGCAGCUUGUGAUGACAUCACAGCAGAGUCCUGCAGAGGGUGGAUUCGACACUCCAGAAGAUACUUUCCCCGAUGCAUCGAUAGAGUUGACAUUCACUGUGAUGUUGAUGCAAACAUGUGGGCAGACGGGAGCGUCUAGAUAUCAAUGAUUGAUAUGCAGCAGUGUCUGUUUUUUCAGGGGUUGUUUUUGUUUGUUUGUUUGUUUUGUUUCAUAACUAUUGCAGUAAGGUUUACUGUCUAAGUGAGUUUAUGUUUGCUGUAAAAUGUUUGAUUUACUGUAUUUCCCCAGUUGCACAAUGCUGUGCACAGUUUCAAUUGAAUAUUAUCAGGAGUGCA